ncrna:Chromobacterium violaceum ATCC 12472 Burkholderia RNA 7 (anti-hemB)
CCUCCCGCUUGGCUCCCUGAGCGGGGCCUGAAUCGUUGCUAUCCAGGCUUUGCCCCGGCUUUCUCGGCCGGGGCUUUUUAUU